rnacentral:rRNA from 1 species
CGCUGGCGGCGUGCUUAACACAUGCAAGUCGAACGAGAAUCUACUGAAAGAGUUUUCGGACAAUGGAUGUAGAGGAAAGUGGCGAACGGGUGAGUAACGCGUGAGGAACCUGCCUUUCAGUGGGGGACAACAGUUGGAAACGACUGCUAAUACCGCAUGACACUUUGAGGGACAUCCCUUAAAAGUCAAAGCUUUAUGUGCUGAAAGAUGGCCUCGCGUCUGAUUAGCUGGUUGGAGGGGUAACGGCCCACCAAGGCGACGAUCAGUAGCCGGUCUGAGAGGAUGAACGGCCACACUGGAACUGAGACACGGUCCAGACUCCUACGGGAGGCAGCAGUGGGGAAUCUUCCGCAAUGGGCGAAAGCCUGACGGAGCAACGCCGCGUGAGUGAUGACGGCCUUCGGGUUGUAAAACUCUGUGAUCCGGGACGAAAAGGCAGAGUGCGAAGAACAAACUGCAUUGACGGUACCGGAAAAGCAAGCCACGGCUAACUACGUG